rnacentral:rRNA from 1 species
AGCAGCCGCGGUAAUUCCAGCUCCAAUAGCGUAUAUUAAAGUUGCUGCAGUUAAAAAGCUCGUAGUUGAAUUUCGGGACCAUCAUGUCGGUCGUGCCUCGGUACGCACUGUCAUCGUUGGUUUCUCCCUUCUGACGAACUAUGAUGUCAUUUAUUUGGUGUUGUGGGGAAUCAGGACUGUUACUUUGAAAAAAUUAGAGUGUUUAAAGCAGGCUCACGCUUGAAUACAUUAGCAUGGAAUAAUGAAAUAGGACGUUUGAUUCUAUUUUGUUGGUUUCUAGGAUCGACGUAAUGAUUAAUAGGGAUAGUUGGGGGCAUUAGUAUUCAAUUGUCAGAGGUGAAAUUCUUGGAUUUAUUGAAGACUAACUACUGCGAAAGCAUUUGCCAAGGAUGUUUUCAUUAAUCAAGAACGAAAGUUAGGGGAUCGAAGACGAUCAGAUACCGUCGUAGUCUUAACCAUAAACUAUGCCGACUAGGGAUCAGAUGAUGUUAAUUUUUUAAUGACUCAUUCGGCGCCUUACG